UCCUGGCUCAGAAUGAACGUUGGCGGCGUGGAUUAGGCAUGCAAGUCGAACGGGCCGCAAGGCCAGUGGCGGAAGGGUGAGUAAUGCGACGGUAACCAACCCCCGGAAAUGGGUAUAGCCGCGGGAAACUGCGGGUAAUCCCCAGCGACGUGUCGGGUCGGCAUCGACCUGACACCAAAGCUCCGGCGUUCCGGGACGGGCCGUUGUGGUAUUAGCUAGUUGGCGGGGUAACGGCCCACCAAGGCUGCGAUGCCUACCGGGCGUGCGAGCGUGGCCCGGCACACUGGGACUGAGACACUGCCCAGACUCCUACGGGAGGCUGCAGUCGAGAAUCUUCGGCAAUGGGCGCAAGCCUGACCGAGCGACGCCGCGUGGAGGACGAAGGCCUUCGGGUUGUAAACUCCUGUCGAGGGGGAGGAAGGCGUAAGCUUGACCGAUCCCUGGAGGAAGCACGGGCUAAGUUCGUGCCAGCAGCCGCGGUAAGACGAACCGUGCGAACGUUAUUCGGAAUCACUGGGC
rnacentral:rRNA from 1 species